AGAGUUUGAUCAUGGCUCAGAACGAACGCUGGCGGCAGGCUUAACACAUGCAAGUCGAGCGCUGUAGCAAUACAGAGCGGCAGACGGGUGAGUAACGCGUGGGAACAUACCCUUCGGUUCGGAAUAGCUCAGGGAAACUUGAAUUAAUACCGGAUACGGCCAGAAGUGAAAAUUUCUGGCGAAAGUAAGGAUAAUACCCGAUGUGUCCAUUCCGGCACAAGCCGGAAUGGGUAAAGGCGGCUCGUAAGGGCUGCUGUUUAGAGAUGAGCUCGCGUCCUAUCAGCUAGUUGGUAAGGUAACGGCUUACCAAGGCUUUUGACGGGUAGCUGGCCUGAGAGGGUGGUCAGCCACACGGGGACUGAGACACUGCCCCGACUCCUACGGGAGGCUGCAGUCGAGGAUCUUUAGCAAUGGGCGAAAGCCUGACUAUGCGACGCCGCGUGAGGGAUGAAGGUUUUCGGAUCGUAAACCUCUUUCGAUGGGAAAGAAAGUCCUGCCGUUAAUACCGGCAGGAUCUGACGGUACCUAGAGAAGAAGCCACGGCCAACUCCGUGCCAGCAGCCGCGGUAAUACGGGGGUGGCGAGCGUUACUCGGAUUUAUUGGGUGUAAAGGACAGGUAGGCGGCUAUGCAAGUUGGAGGUGAAAUCCUAAGGCUCAACCUUAGAACUGCCUUCAAUACUGCAUGGCUUGAGGCCAGAAGAGGAAAGCGGAAUUCCCGGUGUAAGGGUGAAAUCUGUAGAUAUCGGGAGGAACACCAGUGGCGAAAGCGGCUUUCUGGUCUGGUUCUGACGCUGAGCUGUGAAAGCU
rnacentral:rRNA from 1 species